CGAGUAUUAUGGGAUGGCCGGCCCUGCUGAGGGGGGAAGGGCGGGCCGCGGCUAUUAUGGGAUGGCGAGGCCGCCCGCGAGCGGAGGGGGGCAGGCAGAAAGUUGCCGUCUAAGUGCAAGCGUCACAAGGCUCCGACUUACAUAAGUUCAAGGGACGUGCACAAGUGUGAGAACAGCACCCAAGGAUGGCACAAAGCGAGACAUGUCCCUGCCCGGUGCGUCCCAGAGCGUGUGUGAUCCUUGCCUUCUGCACCGGGGCACAGCCCCAGAGUCCCUGGUGUGGUUCUCACUCCAGACCUGUGUGCCAGUGGCAGCUUUGCCCGCUUUGGAGCCCAUGGUGACCCAGCAGGUAUCACCAUCGGGAUCCAUGGAGAUUUGACUCCCCUCCUCUCCAGCCAGCCCGAGUCCAUCAGCUCUGCUCAGCAGCAGUGUUCUCGCCCAGCCAAAUGGGGAAUGCAACCUCCAGGCUAAUUAGCAGCGUUCCCUGGAGCGCAGUUGUUGCUGGGUGCAGCGCUGGAAGCACCUCUCCCAGAUCCAGCUGGAGGUAGGAGAUGAAGGAGAGUUCUGUCCCAGCCUGUUUUUUCAGUGUUUCUGCUAAAUGAGCUCAAGAGAUGUGAGUCGGUGUUAGUGAUUUUUUUGCCAGCACGCACCAGCUUUGAUACAGGAGGCAAAAAUAGGUAUGGCAGAACUGCAGUCCAGGCAGCUCAAACCAGUGGGGUGUUGAUGCAGCCCCUUUGAGACCACUGGCUCCUUCCCUGGCUGGAUCCAGCUAUUUGUUUCAUGAAGAGGGGAGGGGAUCAGGACAUCUCUAAGGCACUUUAGGGAAAUAAGAACCUAAAUAUGGUAACUAGUAAGCAUUCUUAACUUUUGUGUGUUGCUUGCAGCUUUUGUUAUUCAUUAUAUACAUAUUUCUAUGUUAAAAAACUGGUGUCAAAGUCAAAUUUUUAUAAUUGCAAAAUAGCAUUUGUUUUUUACGCCUUACUAAGUGCCUCCAUCUUCAAGAAAAAAAAAAAAGUGAAAAUAAACAUGGAAAAUUCGAA